rnacentral:lncRNA from 1 species
CGGUUGAUGCGGGAGUCUGUAUAUUGACUUACCUGGUGCGGCCAGGGACUGGAGUUAGGGCGCUACCCUCGUGGGUUUCAGGUGAGGAUCCCAUCUACUCUUCUGAGAAAGCUAUCGGGUAGUAGUAUGGGAUAGGACCUGCCGCAGUCCCCAAAGAUACCAGAUGGAAGGCAAGAAAUGACGCUGAGGCUGAUGACAAAGAUAAUUUAAUGCAGAUGAAGUGAAUAGUCUCUAUGUAUUCCUUUCAACUCAGCUGUUUCUGAUGCUCGGAAGCUGUUCUUUCAUCCACAAAGAUGGUAAUAAAUCUUUGCCUCCCUCAGUUCAGACCAAGAAUUCACUGCAACAAGGUAAGCCAGACAAAUACAUAAAAUAUAAAAUAUAAUAUAUUCCUUAGACUUUUCCCCAUUUCCUGGCUUGUGUGCUCUCCCCUGUAGAUCCCACUACACAGCAUCCAGGCAGGUAUUGACAGUCCCCAAGAGUCUCCGCACUGUCACUCUGUGACUCGUCUGUGAAGACCAUUCAGUCACGCCCUUUCCUCUGGGCUGAGUAAUGUCAUGUUGGCACACAGCAGAAUUAAUGACUCAGGAGCACUCUUCCCUCCCUCCUGCCUCCCUUUCCCCUUUCCUCUCUGUUUUUGUUGUUUUGUUGUUCUUGACUUGUUUUUGUUUUGUUUUAAGAUUCAUUUGCUUUUUCCAGGUGUUGUGGUGCAUACCUUUAAUCUUAGCAAGAGGGAGACAGAAAGG